rnacentral:rRNA from 1 species
GUGGGGGAUAUUGGACAAUGGGGGAAACCCUGAUCCAGCGAUGCCGCGUGAGGGAAGAAGGUUUUCGGAUUGUAAACCUCUGUGGACAGGGACGAUAAUGACGGUACCUGUUUAGAAAGCCACGGCUAACUACGUGCCAGCAGCCGCGGUAAUACGUAGGUGGCGAGCGUUGUCCGGAAUUACUGGGUGUAAAGGGAGUGUAGGCGGGAAGGCAAGUCAGAAGUGAAAAUUAUGGGCUUAACCCAUAACCUGCUUUUGAAACUGUUUUUCUUGAGUGAGGCAGAGGCAAGCGGAAUUCCUAGUGUAGCGGUGAAAUGCGUAGAUAUUAGGAGGAACACCAGUGGCGAAGGCGGCUUGCUGGGCCUUUACUGACGCUGAGGCUCGAAAGCGUGGGGAGCAAACAGGA